AAUUCACCUCUGCAGCAGCCGCUGGCAAAGAAAGGAGACGAAGGGCAAGGGAAGAGGAGCUGCGGCCAGCCGCCGCCGCCGCCGCCGCCGGGAGAUUCCCCGGCUCCCAGUCACAGCACUGGCUGUAGUCCCGGUGCUUGGAAGAGCAGGCUGACUGAAAAAAGCCCAGUCUGCACGGAUAUGGGCGGCAGGGGGCCGCGGGAUAAGCGAGGAGGGAGAAAUGUGAGACUUUAGAGCUGGAGAGGACCUUUGAGGCCACCUAGCAAAUAGCUCUGAACCGUGGUGUCAGAUUCCAACUGGGCCCAGGAUUCCCUGACCUUGGCAGUCUUAAUGCAGACUUGUAGAGAGUCACCAGCCUCUUGGCCCUGGGCAAGGAACAGUUGAUGGCAGAGGGCAGAUUUGAGAAGGGGGAUGGGCAAGAAACACUGUACCCCAGCUGCCUUCUGAGCUCCCUCAAACAACUGCGAUCAGUAGUGAAGAUUCCACAAGACAAUGGCUUUCAAGAACUUCAUAACCACCCAGCUUUAUCAAAUAAUUUUCAGGAGGAAGAGAACAAUGGGGUGAGAAGAUGGGAAGUGAGACUUCUCAGAGAUGUACACCCCAAAGCGACACAAGUUUCCGGAACAACGAGCAUGCCAUCUGGAAUAAAAAGGGUU